GGGGGCGACCUGGUUUCGACGUGGGUUGCAAAGCAGAGUGGGGCACGCCGAGGUUCUGGACCCUCGUUAAACAUCAGAAACGCAAUAAACGCCAACGACUCUACGUUUGACGUAAAACUGGCCGCCUAAUCGCGGCUAGCGCUGCACCGGUGGGUCUGAACGCCGGGCGGGGCAACCCGCAGCAGUGUCACCUAACCAGAAUCGGCUUCGCUCGGGUCACUUGAGCGCGGCUUAAAUCCAAGGUGACUGGUCUGCCACCGGCCCGCCUGUGGGCAAUGCGGCAGAUGAGAUCCAAAUACACAGGCUAAGCGUGUAGAACUGCCUGUAGAGUGCUUGCGGACGCGGGUUCGAUUCCCGCCGCCUCCACCA
rnacentral:tmRNA from 1 species